GCCUAACACAUGCAAGUCGAGCGGCAGCACGGGAAGCUUGCUUCCUGGUGGCGAGCGGCGGACGGGUGAGUAAUGCAUAGGAAUCUGCCCGGUAGUGGGGGAUAACCUGGGGAAACCCAGGCUAAUACCGCAUACGUCCUACGGGAGAAAGCAGGGGCUCUUCGGACCUUGCGCUAUCGGAUGAGCCUAUGUCGGAUUAGCUGGUUGGUGAGGUAAUGGCUCACCAAGGCGACGAUCCGUAGCUGGUCUGAGAGGAUGAUCAGCCACAUCGGGACUGAGACACGGCCCGAACUCCUACGGGAGGCAGCAGUGGGGAAUAUUGGACAAUGGGCGCAAGCCUGAUCCAGCCAUGCCGCGUGUGUGAAGAAGGCCCUCGGGUUGUAAAGCACUUUCAGUGGGGAAGAAAGCCUUCCGGUUAAUACCCGGGAGGAAGGACAUCACCCACAGAAGAAGCACCGGCUAACUCCGUGCCAGCAGCCGCGGUAAUACGGAGGGUGCGAGCGUUAAUCGGAAUUACUGGGCGUAAAGCGCGCGUAGGGGCUUGAUAAGGCCGGUUGUGAAAGCCCCGGGCUCAACCUGGGAACGGCAUCCGGAACUGUCAGCUAGAGUGCAGGAGAGGAAGGUAGAAUUCCCGGUGUAGCGGUGAAAUGCGUAGAGAUCGGGAGGAAUACCAGUGGCGAAGGGGCCUUCUGGACUGACACUGACACUGAGGUGCGAAAGCGUGGGUAGCAAACAGGAUUAGAUACCCUGGUAGUCCACGCCGUAAACGAUGUCGACUAGCCGUUGGGUCCUUCGCGGACUUUGUGGCGCAGUUAACGCGAUAAGUCGACCGCCUGGGAGUACGGCCGUAAGGUUAAAACUCAAAUGAAUUGACGGGGGCCCGCACAAGCGGUGGAGCAUGUGGUUUAAUUCGAUGCAACGCGAAGAACCUUACCUACCCUUGACAUCCUCGGAAUCCGCCAGAGAUGGCGGAGUGCCUUCGGGAACCGAGAGACAGGUGCUGCAUGGCUGUCGUCAGCUCGUGUUGUGAAAUGUUGGGUUAAGUCCCGUAACGAGCGCAACCCUUGUCCCUAUUUGCCAGCGAUUCGGUCGGGAACUCUAGGGAGACUGCCGGUGACAAACCGGAGGAAGGUGGGGACGACGUCAAGUCAUCAUGGCCCUUACGGGUAGGGCUACACACGUGCUACAAUGGUCAGUACAAAGGGUUGCGAACUUGCGAGAGUGAGCCAAUCCCAGAAAGCUGAUCUCAGUCCGGAUCGGAGUCUGCAACUCGACUCCGUGAAGUCGGAAUCGCUAGUAAUCGUGAAUCAGAAUGUCACGGUGAAUACGUUCCCGGGCCUUGUACACACCGCCCGUCACACCAUGGGAGUGGACUGCACCAGAAGUGGUUAGCCUAACCUUCGGGAGGGCGAUCACCACGGUGUGGUUCAUGACUGGGGUGAAGUCGUAACAAGGUAGCCGUAGGGGAACCUGCGGCUGGAUCACCUCCUU
rnacentral:rRNA from 1 species